rnacentral:rRNA from 1 species
UGGGGAAUAUUGCACAAUGGGCGCAAGCCUGAUGCAGCCAUGCCGCGUGUAUGAAGAAGGCCUUGGGUUGUAAAGUACUUUCAGCGGGGAGGAAGGGAGUAAAGUUAAUACCUUUGCUCAUUGACGUUACCCGCAGAAGAAGCACCGGCUAACUCCGUGCCAC